CCUACGGGAGGCAGCAGUGAGGAAUAUUGGACAAUGGUCGAAAGACUGAUCCAGCCAUGCCGCGUGCAGGAAGACGGCCCUAUGGGUUGUAAACUGCUUUUGUUUGGGAAGAAACCUUUCUACGUGUAGAAAGCUGACGGUACCAUACGAAUAAGCACCGGCUAACUCCGUGCCAGCAGCCGCGGUAAUACGGAGGGUGCAAGCGUUAUCCGGAUUUAUUGGGUUUAAACGGGUCCGUAGGCGGACUUAUAAGUCAGUGGUGAAAUCCUGCAGCUCAACUGUAGAACUGCCAUUGAUACUGUAAGUCUUGAAUUCGGUUGAAGUGGGCGGAAUAUGGCAUGUAGCGGUGAAAUGCUUAGAUAUGCCAUAGAACACCGAUUGCGUAGGCAGCUCACUAAGCCUGGAUUGACGCUGAGGGACGAAAGCGUGGGUAGCGAACAGGAUUAGAUACCCUGGUAGUCCACGCCGUUAAACCGGAUGAUUACUCGACAUUAGCGAUACACGUUAGUAGUNAUAGAGAAGANAUAAGUAA
rnacentral:rRNA from 1 species